UGGGAAUUUUGGACAAUGGCGAAAGCCUGAUCCAGCAAUGCCGCGUGUGUGAAGAAGGCCUUCGGGUUGUAAAGCACUUUUGUCCGGAAAGAAAUCCUUGGCUCUAAUACAGUCGGGGGAUGACGGUACCGGAAGAAUAAGCACCGGCUAACUACGUGCCAGCAGCCGCGGUAAUACGUAGGGUGCAAGCGUUAAUCGGAAUUACUGGGCGUAAAGCGUGCGCAGGCGGUUUGCUAAGACCGAUGUGAAAUCCCCGGGCUCAACCUGGGAACUGCAUUGGUGACUGGCAGGCUAGAGUAUGGCAGAGGGGGGUAAAUUCCACGUGUAGCAGUGAAAUGCGUAGAGAUGUGGAGGAAUACCGAUGGCGAAGGCAGCCCCCUGGGCCAAUACUGACGCUCAUGCACGAAAGCGUGGGGAGCAAACAGGAUUAGAUACCCUGGUAGUCCACGCCCUAAACGAUGUCAACUGGUUGUUGGGAAAGGUUCCUUCUCAGUAACGUAGCUAACGCGUGAAGUUGACCGCCUGGGGAGUACGGCCGCAAGGUUGAAACUCAAAUGAAUUG
rnacentral:rRNA from 1 species